AUGAGCUGAUUUUUCGUGCAUAACGCAGUAGAUAUGGAAUAUGUGAUUUAGGCUUGUUUUUGUUCUUCCCAGACGAUUUAGGUAACUUGAUUUCUACGAAUAUGCGUUUUUUUGCCUAAUUUUGUCGAGAUUUUUCUUCACCUGCAUCACAAACAGUUAGCCCACUAUUUGGUGCAUUCAUUCAUGUGAUGACUCUCGUUCUAGAGUUGACAUUAAUAAACAACCAGCUAAAAUAAUGCUUAACCAUUAUCGAAUAGAUGGAAAAGAAUCAGGUAAAUCUUUGUAGAGAUGCAUUUUGUUUGAAGUUUGAAACCUUUGGCUCGUAUCCACUUGCAAAUCUUCUAACCUCCAGCUGAAUAAUAUAAAAGGCAGAUUGGAAGAACCCUUUUUAUCUUCGGUUUCGGGAGGAAAAGACUUAGUUCUUCAUUUGGACUAUGGCUCACAAGAGGCUAAACACUUGUUGGAUUAAAAAGAAGAACCCAUCCAUGGCCUUAUCUCCGCCUGUUUGCUCUUCUAAUCUAAUGAAGAAACGCUCGACCAUCUUUUAUUUUAUUGGGAAUAUGUUGCACAGAAGAUUCACUUGCCAUUUUAUUUGUCUUGGGCUGGAAACAAUUCUACUGAUGAAAUGAGAUGAUACAUAAAGAUGAUCUAUCAGCUGCAAAUUUAGCCAAUAAAAAAUCCCAUUUUCUAUAAGGGCCAAUUUCUCAAAUCAGUACUUCUUUGGGAAAGUGCCAACUCCUCCUUCUAUGAGAGUAAGCAUGUAGACCUAAUCAAAGUUCUUUUGAACAAGUAAAAAUCCAGGCCUUCUUGUUCAUUCUCUAUGAGAUUCUCAGUGGAGGUGGUGGAAGUUGAAGAUACCAAAGGUUCCCUAAUUACUACAGUAUGGUAGUAAUGCAUCUAUCAUCGUUUACCCGUCUCUCCCUUUUCAUUUAUGGUAAAUUUUGAAUAACUUGAUAAGGGUUGUGAAAAAGAACUGAAUUCAGAAUGUAUGUUGUCAAAAUGUCUCAUAUUAUUAUCUAUUUGUAUCAUGUUUUUCUUUGCAUUUUUUAACACUUAGUCCUCACAGUAUAAACUUAUAAUGAAAUCAUGUAAUCUAUAUAUGUAAUAUGCAACCAAUCUAAUUUUAUGCAUUGGAAACAUUCUAGAGUAAUUUAAUUUAGAUUUCUGUGCUUUUUGGAUGACC